rnacentral:rRNA from 1 species
GAUGAACGCUGGCGGCGUGCCUAAUACAUGCAAGUCGAGCGAACGGACGAGAAGCUUGCUUCUCUGAUGUUAGCGGCGGACGGGUGAGUAACACGUGGAUAACCUACCUAUAAGACUGGGAUAACUUCGGGAAACCGGAGCUAAUACCGGAUGAUAUUUUGAACCGCAUGGUUCAAAAGUGAAAGACGGUCUUGCUGUCACUUAUAGAUGGAUCCGCGCUGCAUUAGCUAGUUGGUAAGGUAACGGCUUACCAAGGCAACGAUGCAUAGCCGACCUGAGAGGGGGAUCGGCAAAAGGGAAAGGGAGAAAGGGAAAAAAAACCAAGGGGAGGAAGGAGAGGGAAAUGUUCGGAAAGGGGGGAAAGGGGAAAGGAGAAAAGCGGGGGGGGGGAAGAAGGGUUUGGGAUGGAAAAACUCUGUUAUUGGGGAAAAAAAAAGGGGAAAGAAAAUGGGAAAAAAUGAAGGGUACCAAAAAAAAAAGCCAGGGCAAAAAAGGU